rnacentral:tRNA from 1 species
GUCCCUAUAGCUCAAUGGACAGAGUAGACCCGUCCUAAGGGUAAGAUGGGGGUUCAAUUCCCUCUAGGGACA